AUAUUAUAAAAACAGGAAGACUGGCUGUGGGAGGCAGUCUCCCUGAAAGACUGGCAUUCUCCUUCCUGUGAUGGAAAGAGGCUCUGUUGGUCACUUUCAUAGUGACCUCAAUAUUGCCCCCAUCCUCUAAGUAGCAGAAUGUGUCUUCAGGCAUAGGUGUGCCUUCCUGCAGCCCCAGGGAUCGAAUUACUCUCACCUGUUCCUUUGUAGAUAUUACCCCUUUGCCCUGUUUGGAAUAGAAUGUUCCAUGGAAACACCCUUUGUGUGUCCCCUUCUCUUGCUCUGCCUUUGGGUGUGGCCUUCCUAGAUGUUAGUCAGCCUGCUGACAGUAGACAUCAUGAAGCUAGACUCAACCCCCUGACACCUGAUCCCUUGCCUUAUUUGAAUGGCCUCUCCUCAAUAAAAGGGUUCAGCAUGCACUUCCUUGCUGUCUUUCUGUGGACCCUUAAGGUCAGAGGAGCCGUCCCAGGACCCCCAAAGGGACCCUGCUCCCUCCCCCCUUCCCCCUUCCUGCAAGAGCCUGCUAACCCUGAGGCCGACAUCUCCACCCACCUGCACUCUGACCACAGUGCUCACAGACUUUCUGAAUAUGUAGAGGGGCCUGCCAAUUCCAGGAGCUGGAGGCAAUGUGUCUGGUCCUCCUGGCCCCUCCCCUCUGUGGUUCUUGAGGUUUUGAAGCUUUUUCUCCACCUUCAAUAGCAUGGGCUAAGCCCACCCCCAAUGCAUAACCCAG
rnacentral:lncRNA from 1 species